AAAACAACUCUCGGCAACGGAUAUCUUGGCUCUCGCAUCGAUGAAGAACGUAGCGAAAUGCGAUACUUGGUGUGAAUUGCAAAAUCCCGUGAAC
rnacentral:rRNA from 1 species